rnacentral:rRNA from 1 species
GAUGAACGCUGGCGGCGUGCCUAAUACAUGCAAGUCGAGCGAACAGACGAGGAGCUUGCUCCUCUGACGUUAGCGGCGGACGGGUGAGUAACACGUGGAUAACCUACCUAUAAGACUGGGAUAACUUCGGGAAACCGGAGCUAAUACCGGAUAAUAUAUUGAACCGCAUGGUUCAAUAGUGAAAGACGGUUUUGCUGUCACUUAUAGCUGGAUACGCGCCGCAUUAGCUAGUUGGUAAGGUAACGGCUUACCAAGGCAACGAUGCGUAGCCGACCUGAGAGGGUGAUCGGCCACACUGGAGCUGAGACACGGUCCAGACUCCUACGGGAGGCAGCAGUAGGGAAUCUUCCGCAAUGGGCGAAAGCCUGACGGAGCAACGCCGCGUGAGUGAUGAAGGUCUUCGGAUCGUAAAACUCUGUUAUUAGGGAAGAACAAAUGUGUAAGUAACUAUGCACGUCUUGACGGUACCUAAUCAGAAAGCCACGGCUAACUACGUG